CACCACCUUAGAUAUCUCUGAGGCCUAACAAAUGACCCCACAAUCCCACCUGAGAUUUUAUGUUUUCUCAGAGGCCAUUUUGUUUUUCUUUUAUUUUUCUUUAAGGAAGAUUAGCCCUGAGCUAACAUCUGCUCCCAAUCCUCCUCUUUUCGCUGAGGAAGACUGGCCCUGAGCUAACAUCCGUGCCCAUCUUCCUCUACUUUAUACGUGGGAUGCCUGCAACAGCAUGCCAAGUGGGGCCAUGUCCGCACCCGGGAUCUGAACCGGCGAACCCCAGGCUGCUGAAGCAGAACGUGCAAACUUAACUGCUGCACCACCAGGCCGGCCCCUCAGAGGCCUUUUCCUAAUUUGAGGACUUUUUGCCAUCUAGAAAAGCUAGCAAUGAGAAACUAUUUUAUUUUCAAACCGAGCAGGUGAAAUCUACAAUUUUGGCAAGGCUCAACAGAGAAGGCUGUCUCUGCUCCAUACAGCAUCAGCUGUGGUGGCUCGACUGGAGGAUCCAUUUCCAAGAUGGCUCACUCAUAUGGCUGGCAAGUUGGGGAUGACUGCUGGCUGGAGCUCAGCACGGGCUAUGGGCUGGAGCCUCAGUUCCUGUCCACGUGAGUCUCUCCACAAGCUGGUUUCCAAGAGCGAGCAUCUCAAGGGAAUUAGGUAUCACCUGUUAUGAUCUUUUAUGAUCAACGGAAAUCACAUAGUAUUACCUCCACGGUAGUCACAGGCCUGCCCAGAUUCAAGAGCAGAGAAGAGAGACCCACUUCUCCAAUGAGGAAUGUCAUGACCAUACUGUAAGAAGAGCACGUGGAAUAGGAUAUGUGGCCAUCUUGGAAAAUAAAACCUAUCACAUAUUAGAUAAAACACUGGGGUAGGUUGUCAUUCCUUUACAGUUUGGGGCAUCAUGUUAACCUAAAUAGCAGUCUGCCUGCUUUAGCUUAAUGUAGAUCAGAAGUUCUUAAAGGCUGAAUCAUAUGCCAGUAGUGAUUCAUGAUAAAAGUCCCAUCAUAGAUGGCAAAAUGAAAACAUAUAACAUAAAAGCCCCUUGAAUAAAUUGAAUAAAACAAUUUAUUCAACGUAAAGGGUACUUACACUGAUCAUACUUUCGCUUCUUUUCUGGUGUUAAAAUGUCUUUUCUUUUAUUAAAUGAUAGUGAUAGCAGAUAGCAGCUGUUUUCUUAAUGAUGUCAUAUCAAUCUCCUCCCUUUAUUUUUUUACAUUUUCCCAGUCAAUGAAAUACAAACAUCUAAGGAACUACUAUUUAGAAGUUAUCAAAACACUGAAUUUAGCCUUUGCUCUACCACCUCUCAAAUAAUGUGAUUUAACUUACUAGUAUGCACUUUGAAAUAGUAAUUACUCUGUGCGUGUUCAGAAAAAGUCAUGCAGCUACCUGUGUAACAGCUCAAACACAAAACAUAAGGACAUUUUAACUCUUCUAUGAAUAUAUUGGUAACUCAAUGCAACAAUAGGACACAAGAAGUACUAUAUCUCUCAAAACAUACUAAAGUUAUAGAUCUAUAGAUAUAGACGUAUAUUCAGAUUCUCCUAUCAAUGGAAUCUUUGAAGGGAGAUCCAGGGAUCCCUUGGUAAUCACCAGAUUCACAUGCCUGAAAAUUAACACGGCAUUCAAGAUGAAGGUUAGAAAAUAGGUCAGAGAAGAAACCAGCUAACACAGACAUAAUGCUGGAUAUGUGAGACAUCUGUUGGAGGAGUAGGAAUUGAAAUGGGGCACUGGCACAAGCAAGACAUGGAGAUAAAGAUCCAGGCGCCAUUUUUAGAAAGGUGAACAAGCUCUAUAAAUGAACGAAGAUGAGAGGUUCCAUGAGGGAGAGUGCCAAAAGAGAGUUCAUUCAACUAUUAUUUACUAACUUACUAUCCAAUGGGCUCUUUAGGGAUGAAUAAAAACAAGACAAAGCCCUCACCCUUAAAAAGCUCACAAUUCACAUGGGGAGAUAAACAUGUGAACAGUGAAAUAGAAUAGGAUGAGGCUAUUAGCACUAUGGGUGCCCCCAAGAAGGAGGGAUAUGUUGUUCCUAAUGUUGGGGAUAGAGAAGGUCAUGGGAUGCGGAAUUACAGAUUGCUUCACUAAGGGUUACGAUUGACAUUUUUUUUUCCAGCUUUAUUGAGGUAUAAUUGAUAUACAAAGCUGUAAGACAGGAUUGACUUUGGAGAAGUUACCCUAGCUGGAGGCAAGAUGAAGAGGAGCUGGGUGUCUUAGUCUGUUCAGACUGCUAUAACAAAAAUACCCUAAACCAGGUACCUCACGAACAACAAACUUUUCUUCCUUACAGUUCUGGAGGCUAGGAAAUCCAAGAUCAUGGUGGCAGCAGCUUCGGUGUCCAGUGAGAGCCCACUUCCUAGACAGCUGUCUUGUUGCUGUAACCUCAUAUAGUGCAAGGGGCAAGGGAGCUGACAAGGGCCUCUUCUAUAAAGGCCUAAUCCCCAUUUGUAAGGGCUCUGACCUCAUGACCUAAGCACCUCCCAAAGGCUCCACCUCCAAAUACUAUCACACAGGCAUUAGGUUUCAACAU
ensembl:lncRNA